AAAACUAGAAAAAAAGAAGAGAAGAGAAGAAAGAUAUUGGAGUCACAUGUGGCGAGACUUACGUAAGUCUAGCCCAUGUGUUCCAAUAUCUUUCUUCUCUUCCUUUUUUUUUCAAAUAUUU
rnacentral:pre_miRNA from 1 species